rnacentral:sRNA from 1 species
UCAUAGGUCGUCUACCAUUUGUUUUCGC